GGUAAGGUGGCCGAGCGGUUAUGGCGUCAGGUUCAAGGGAAACCUUCCACCCUUCUCCAGAGAGUGGCAAAUUCUGAUGGGGAAACCUUCCAGGGUUCGAAUCCCUGUCUUACCA
rfam:Stachybotrys chartarum IBT 40288 unplaced genomic scaffold scaffold725, whole genome shotgun sequence.